GUUUAUCUCACUUAGUUGUCAUCCAAACCCCAUGAAAUGGGUACCUACUAUUUGGUAGAUGAGAAAAGUAGACAACAGAGAAGUUGAGUCUUUUGCUCAAGGUCACACAGCUAGAAAAUGUAAAGUCAAGGUUCCAAGUUUAGGGACUAGGAAUCUGUUUGCUUGCUUGCUUGCUUCUUGGCCUCAAAAUUUUUUUUACCAUUCCUCCCAUCAAGAGGUGGCUGCUUUAUGACUCUGCUCCUUGAAUCCAGGAAGGCUUCUAUAUUCUUUGACCACAAGGGAAAAGUGAAGGUGAUGCUGUGAGAUUUCAAAGGCUAGUUCACAAGGGCUCUGCAGCUUGCCUGGACUCUCUUGGAGCAUUUACAUCUUCCAGAGACUCCUUGGCCCCUCACCCAGCCACAUGGAGAGGCCACACAUAGAUCCUCAGGUCAACAGCCAUUGAGUUGUUCCACUUCAUACUCCAGACAUGUGAGAAAAGAAGCCUCCAAAUGGUUUCUGCCCCUAGUCAUUCAAGUCACCCACAACCAUCUGAGUCCUCUCAGCUGAGAGCUUACACAUCAUGGGUCAGAGACAAACCAUCAUCACUGUACCUUGCCUCAAUUUCUGACUCCCAGAAUUUGUGAGCUUAAUAAAAUGGUUGUUAUUUAUACCACUGAUUUGGGAUGGUAUAUUGUAUGACAAUAGUAAUUGGAACAAGGAACUUUCCGUAAACUUUAGACAUUCUGUAUGCAUGUGAUAACGUACAAUCCCACAAAGUUCCCCAGGCUCAUGGAGACCCCAUGAGUGCCAACUAGAUCCCUUGAAGUUACAGGGGAGCAGAAAGCCAGGACUCUGGCCAACUCUGAUCUGGGUUUUGUUUCAAAAACUCUGGCCUCAAUAAUUUUUCACUUUUUUCUAUUAGGAAUUUUCAGUAUCUAUUUCUACAUGGUACCUUGUCUAAAUCACACAAAGCAUCCUCAGUCCAUCUGACCCUUCCUGGAACCAUUGAGAUUUCUGCGUUCAUUCUUCUCAGUUCUAGUUUCCUGGUGGUCGAGUGGUUAGGACUUAGCAGUCUCAUUCUUCAUAUUCCUCCCUCUGGCCUGCAAAAGUAAAAAAAAAAAAAAA
rnacentral:lncRNA from 1 species